UGAAAAUUACAUAAUGGCCUUUAGGGUAUAUUAAGGUACCUACAAGGGCACUUCUUUUUUCUUUCUUUUAUUAAUGGGUAAUGUCAGUACAGUCAUACUAUGAGGAGUUCCACAGUGUGGCUCUUUCAGGGUAAAAGAAAAUUUCUAGACAGGUUCAAACAUGGUUAAUCAUGAAUACUCAAUACUAAUGCUAAAUACUGACAAA